CUACGGGACGCUCCAGUGAGGAAUAUUGCACAAUGGGGGAAACCCUGAUGCAGCAACGCCGCGUGGAGGAUGACGCAUUUCGGUGUGUAAACUCCUUUUAUGAGUCAAGAAAAUGACGGUAGCUCAUGAAUAAGCACCGGCUAACUCGCGUGCCAGCAGCCGCGGUAAUACGGAGGGUGCAAGCGUUACUCGGAAUCACUGGGCGUAAAGGACGCGUAGGCGGGCUUGUAAGUCAGGUGUGAAAUCCUACAGCUUAACCGUAGAACUGCACUUGAAACUACGAGCCUAGAGUAUGGGAGGGGCAGAUGGAAUUAGUGGUGUAGGGGUAAAAUCCGUAGAUAUCACUAGGAAUACCGAAAGCGAAGGCGAUCUGCUGGAACAUUACUGACGCUAAGGCGUGAAAGCGUGGGGAGCAAACGGGAUUAGAUACCCGCGUAGUC
rnacentral:rRNA from 1 species